AUUGAACGCUGGCGGCAGGCCUAACACAUGCAAGUCGAGCGGCAGCGACUUAACUGAACCUUCGGGGAACGUUAAGGGCGGCGAGCGGCGGACGGGUGAGUAAUGCCUGGGAAUAUGCCCUGAUGUGGGGGAUAACUAUUGGAAACGAUAGCUAAUACCGCAUAAUCUCUUCGGAGCAAAGAGGGGGACCUUCGGGCCUCUCGCGUCAGGAUUAGCCCAGGUGGGAUUAGCUUGUUGGUGAGGUAAUGGCUCACCAAGGCGACGAUCCCUAGCUGGUCUGAGAGGAUGAUCAGCCACACUGGAACUGAGACACGGUCCAGACUCCUACGGGAGGCAGCAGUGGGGAAUAUUGCACAAUGGGGGAAACCCUGAUGCAGCCAUGCCGCGUGUGUGAAGAAGGCCUUCGGGUUGUAAAGCACUUUCAGUAGGGAGGAAGGUAGUGUAGUUAACACCUGCAUUAUUUGACGUUACCUACAGAAGAAGCACCGGCUAACUCCGUGCCAGCAGCCGCGGUAAUACGGAGGGUGCGAGCGUUAAUCGGAAUUACUGGGCGUAAAGCGCAUGCAGGCGGCCUGUUAAGUCAGAUGUGAAAGCCCGGGGCUUAACCUCGGAAUUGCAUUUGAAACUGGCAGGCUAGAGUCUUGUAGAGGGGGGUAGAAUUUCAGGUGUAGCGGUGAAAUGCGUAGAGAUCUGAAGGAAUACCAGUGGCGAAGGCGGCCCCCUGGACAAAGACUGACGCUCAGAUGCGAAAGCGUGGGGAGCAAACACG
rnacentral:rRNA from 1 species